UUUUUGAGGGUUUUUUUGCGGGUUCCUGAAUCUCAACGGAUUCCCCCCUCCCUCCCUCCCUCCCCUCUGAUGCAGCAGUGUGUUAGCUGGCUAACGUUAGCAAGCUAGCUAAAGCCAGGUCCGUCAGUUCGGGGGUGGGGAGGGAGGGGGGAACGUUGUGAGAAAAUUGUCGAGAGGAAGCAGCAGUCGAUUGAUGGUCCGUUAGCGUCGUUUGUUUUCGUCGGGAGAUGGUGGUCGGUUACAUGCGAGGAUAACUUAAUGGGACACGACGUUUCUGAGGCUGGAACACCUGCCAUCUCCCCUCUCCCAGCGAGCAAGCAAACUAGCUAAGAAAGGUUAAGACAAUCAGAGGCAACAUACAAGUGCCUCCACUGUACGGUUUCCUUUCCCAGAGUGUGACUCGUCUGCACGACGUCACCAAUGCGACCAUGGGAAAUAGCAGUAAAUAGGCUGCCACCAACAGCCCCCUUAAAUCCGAGGAGGUUCCUUGGAGAGCCCUGCAACGCCCCAGUGCAUCUCAGGAGAAGCCCACCAGUGAGACGCCAGUGGGGGAGACGAGACAGACCUGUACUGCACACUUCUCCGAUCCAGGAUGAGAACUUCCAUCAUCUGCUUUUCUCCCAACAUCACCAACAGGUUCCUUUAGAUGAGUCCAGACAGUACAGCCACACCAGCACACCACCACGCAUGCUUCACCCUGCUGCUCACCUGCCCCAGCAGAGCCCCAUCAUGGUGGAUCUACAUGACCAGAUGCACCAGGGAUCAGUUCCAAUAUCAUACACUGUUACAACGGUGACGACCCAUGGAUUUCCCAUCCACACCGGGCAGCCCCUUCCAGGGUGCAACACUCAGCAGCUCCCAGCAUGCUCGGUAAUGUUCAGCGGACAGCUCUCUCUGCUCUGCUGCCUUCCUCCUCCUCUCAUACAGGCAUGUACCAUGCAACAUAUACCGGUGUCUUAUCAAGCCUUUCCACCCCUGAUCUCCAGUGAACAUUUUGUACUGCACCCAACCCCAUCUGUACCCCCCCACCAGCCGCCGCACCUUACUCCUUUGAGCCAGUUUGUCCCUUUACAGCCUCAGCACCCACGCAUGCCUCUACAGAGGGUAGAGAAUGAAGUUGACCUAAGAGGGGACCAGCACCCAUUAGGGACCUUCUCCUACCCUCCUUCUCAUCACCCACCAGCGCUGCCUCCUUCUCUCCCUCUACAGUAUCUUCCUCAAGAGCCUCUGCAUCAGGAGCUUCCCUUCGGAGUGCCAUAUCCCCACAUGCUGCCCCGGAGAGUGAAUGGACAGAGAUACCGGUUGCAGCAGCCUCUCCCCCCUCCUCCUCCCCCUCCAUCUUACUACCCAGGCUUCCUCCCGUACUUCCUGUCAAUGCUUCCUGUGCCUCCAACAGCAGUGGGCCCAGCCAUCAGCCUAGACCUGGACGUGGAUGAUGUAGAGAUGGAGAACUAUGAAGCAUUAUUGAAUUUGGCAGAAAGGUUGGGUGAAGCGAAACCACGUGGACUAACAAAAGCAGAUAUAGAGCAACUUCCGUCCUACAGAUUCAACUCAGAGAAUCAUCUAUCUGAACAAACGCUGUGUGUUGUGUGCUUUAGUGAUUUUGAGUGUAGGCAGCUACUUCGGGUAUUACCUUGUAACCACGAAUUCCACGCUAAAUGUGUGGAUAAAUGGUUAAAGACCAAUCGCACUUGUCCCAUUUGCCGAGCCGAUGCCUCGGACGUACACCGGGAGGUGGAGUGAGAACUGUCUCUGAGCGCUGAACUGGAAAAGCUGCACACGCCAGAGUCUGUCCCAAAGCUGGGGACACCUGCCACCUAACCUGCGUCCUCCAGUAAAUAUAGCUUACCAACCCACUUACUCCUGCCCCUUCCUAAAUAAUAAGCAAUCCAGGAUUGUUUCUGGAGCCUGUUGUACCUCUGCUGUGCUUCAUUGUCCGAGUCUCAUGAAACCCACUGCCUACUGCAGCCUAUAGCCAGAGUUCUGGGAUCGCCAGCCAGUUCUUUCUCUGCCCCCUUGUUGCAGAUUCCAAAGAUUUUCCCUACAAUGCAUUAUUUGCUGCUUUUGUUUACAGGGUUUCAUUUUUAUUUAGUGGAUUUGGUUGUGGUGUUCAUGAAAAGCGGGAGUCCUGCAUUGGAAGAGAUGGUUCGGAAGCCUGGAGGAUGAUAGGCUGGACACCUUGUGCAAUUAGCAGAAAAAUAAUAGGAGUACUUCAACAUGGGUAUCUGUGUUUGGAGGCGACGCCUGACCAUCAUAGAUGCAUGUUCGUGUAGGUGUUGGGCAAAGGGACUUGUUAAAAAUGUAUGUUCUGCAAUAAUAUAUCGAUCCUUUUUAACGGUUUUACCCCUUAUUUGUUUUCGACUUUGACAAUGCUAUUGUGAAAGUGUGACUUGCUGUGGUUAAAUGCAGAUUCUGAGGUUACGGACUGCAAGCGACGGGACAUGCAACUGCAGGGUAUCUCCUACUCUGGAACACAGAUCUGUACAAAAAGCAGUCAUGGAUUAAUGGACUGCGUCUUUUUGAGGUCAUCUGGCAUAACUGCACAAGUGCUACAUCCACCCUCCACGUCAGCAUUGUUCUUCUGGCAAGUGUGUACGCGUGUGUGCAUAUUGUGUGUGUAUGUUUGUCCUGUUCACAGAGCCAAUGCAUUGUGUAACCACUGGAUACAGGGCAGCAUGCUAAGGAUUUGCAUGAACUGUUGAUUCAGACUAGCAAUAUUUUAAUCAAGCAUUGCCACCAAAAUUUAUCAAAUUUUAAGAAAAAGAAGAGACAAAGAAGCAUACUAAAAGACCUGCUUGCUUAUUCAGAAAGCGCCACGAGGGAAGACUAGCAUGUGGUUACACCCUUACUGUGUUUGAAGUAUGGGAGUCCUCUCGUCUGAAGGCUGUGCUGAUGCCAUAGAGCUCUGGAGGCCUGUGCAGAAAGCAAUAUGUGCAGUGAGUGGUUUAUUUAUUGGUUUUAUCUUCUAGAGGAAAAUACAUUGAAGGAAACAGUCGGAGCACUAACAACGUUUGUGUACGGUAUGUGUUUUAAUCUGGUAACUUGGUCAGGUCAUUGUCUUAGGCCAUGGUAACGGUGUUGUAAAAGAGCAACUGUAUGUAUAGCUUCAGUGUGAAUGCUUUUAGAUAAACGUUUGAAGACAGAAGAAUGUUGAAAAACCCUUGUAGAAGUCACUGGUGACGCUUCACGUUACGCCAGCUGUCUGUAUUCACGGUGAUCAGAAGAGGCUUCAAAUGACACAGAGCUGGAGUGUUCAGUAGUGUAGAGACACUGUUAGACUUCUAGUUCCCUGCUUGUGUUAACACUAAAACUAAAACAAAACAAAAAAAAACAGGAUAUAUUCGGGGUGGGAGGGAAGAGAGCGACAAAUGAACUUUUUGCUUUUGAUUCACUCUUGUCUCUUAACUGCCCCAGUAAGCACUAACAGGCAGUUGUAACCUUUGCUUUUACGUGUAAAGGGAUCUUGCCUUUUUUUUUUUCUUUACUUUUGUUUCUUAAGUGAAUGUGAGUCUUUGACGUGUGCCACCUUCAAGAGAGAAAAAAAAAAAGAAGCCAUUUAAUGAGUUAAACCCACAGCUUUGAGAAUUAACCUAUGUGUACAUAUCUAUUCGCUGGCAUAUAUUGUAAGUUUAAAAAAAAAAAAAAUCACUCAGGGCCUCUCGGUAUAUAAAAAUAAAGGAGAACAGUCCAUUUCGAAUGGAAAGGAUGCCAUGAAAAGGGUAUAUCUGAAUUUAGUUUGGUCGUUUUCCUCAGACCAUAAAUAAUUUAAUGUAAUCAAUUAUAAUAUUCUGUUUUGUCUGAAAUAGUAGAUAUUACAUCAUUUAAAGACAGGCAUGCGAGAAAAAAAGAUCAGUAAAUAUGUUAAUAAUAUUCACUGAAAAGAGGCAAUGUACACUGCAACUCAUUACAAGUGUAUUAUUCAAAACCUGUUUGACUUUUGUUCUUGUACUCGAACCAUAUGUUCAGACAUAGCGGUUGUGAUCCCAUUUCUGAUUGUGCCACGGCGCACACUAUCCUACCUAAUUCACUCCCAAAUCGACUUCAGAGGUGUUUUGCAUGACUUAAAAAAAAACAAACAAAAAAAAAAGAAGUAAAACAAGUGUGUUAUAGUGGAGGGUAUCUCAAAAUCCGGUGGGGACCUAUUUAAUGGUGCACAAUAUGCAUGCUUGUCAACCAGAUCCCAACUGAUUUUUAGCUCUAGUUGGCUUUGGGUUCUGGGGGUUUGGAUCUUAACGCUCAGCUGAUAACUGCCAUGCAUUGUACUGCACACAUUUGUAAUAGAACUGAAUGACUACAAGAUUUUAUUGCGCUAACUUCAUUUUAUAGAAAAAAAAAGGAAAAAAAACUGGUCUUGAAUCCAGAAAUUCUUACAUACAUUGUGUUACUGUUAUUGCCCUAACGACUGAAAAUUACAUGCUCUGAAACUACUGUAGUUUAUCAAAAGCCAUAGUGAAAAGGUGCUAGAUGUUCUGCUUUUAGGUAUGAAAACUCACUUGCGUGAAUGCAAUAGUUUGUCAUGGAUCCCAUGUAUUCUUAAAGCAUGUUAUACUGAUACCCCCUAAACAAUGUCAGUGAAAAUCAACAUAGUUUAAGGGAUUUAAAAAAAAGGAAAAAAAAAAAAAAAAAAGAAAAAAAGUGUUGUCAUACUUAUUUCAGUGUAGUACUGUACCUGCCUAUCAGGCUCUUGCUCUCAGUGUAUCAAUAUCUUAAAAUGUAUUGUUCACAUAUAGAUACCUUAAUUCAUGUUAAUGUUAGCACUAUUCUUUUUGAAGUAAAUAUUUAAUUGACAAUAUCCAGCUACCCUCUGAAAUAAAAAGAGAACCUCCCAUUAAGGCCUAGGUAAUGAGGUAAUUUUUAACGACAACUGAGAAUAGAGUCUUGUAGUCUUUCUGUUAAGAGUUAUUGAAUAAUCUCACAGCUUGUGUGGUGCAAAAAUGUGUUCCAAUAAGCAGCUAAAAAUUUAUUUAGGAUUUGUGAUUGAUUGCUCCGUAGAUGCCAUUUAUUGUUUACCAAUGAUUUUAAUUUUUUAAUUUUUUUUUUUGCUGUGGUGGGAUAGUGGUUUACUGUUCUUACUCUCCUUGGCCUCUAGGGGUCCUUGCCUGAACACCAGACUACCCACCCACCAACAGAGCCAGGGGCAUGUGUUCUGUGUUAGGCAGAUAUUUUGCUUUGGUACUUGCACAUUUACAGUUACCUCAUUUUUUCCAUGUUUGUAUUGGGGUGGGGUGGGCGGGGGAGAAAACAACUAAUAUAUAUUAUAUAUAGGAAAUGGUUCUUAUUAAUGUUAUAAUUUUUCAUUCCAUUGGAAUCAUAUUGUUUGUAGCAUUUAACAUAACUAGUUAGUGUAUUAUAUAAACAUCUGUAUACUGUUUGAAAUUUUUAAGAUUUGUACUUUUUUUAAAUGAAAGUUGCUAGUUAUGCUUUACCAAGUAGUGCAAUCAUAUUUUUUUUUAAUUGUUGUGGCUGAUUUGAGAGGGUUGUUCACUAAUAAAUGUAUGAUGUAUACCAAUAUCA